GUCCACGGCCAUACCACCCUGAACAUGCCCGAUCUCAUCUGAUCUCAGAAGCUAAGCAGGGUUGGGCCUCGUUAGUACUUGGAUGGAAGAGAUUUGGGCACCAUCCUCC
rnacentral:rRNA from 1 species